rnacentral:rRNA from 1 species
UACAGAGGUCUCAAGCGUUGUUCGGAUUCAUUGGGCGUAAAGGGUGCGUAGGUGGCGCCGUAAGUCAGGUGUGAAAUUUCGGAGCUUAACUCCGAAACUGCAUUUGAUACUGCGGUGCUUGAGGACUGGAGAGGAGACUGGAAUUUACGGUGUAGCAGUGAAAUGCGUAGAGAUCGUAAGGAAGACCAGUGGCGAAGGCGGGUCUCUGGACAGUUCCUGACACUGAGGCACGAAAGCCAGGGGAGCAAACGGG